CCUUGAUCAGUAACAUAGUAAAUGACACAUGUGAUUCUGUACUUACAAGGAAGUAGAAAAUAGCAAAUAAAAAUCAUGACUUGGCUCAGAGGGUUGCUAUUGCCUCCGAAGGCGGUAGCCCCCUGAUCUCCACUCUAUUUUUUUUGUCUCCUUUCUUAAAUCUGCGGCACUGCUGACCUUGAGACCUGAGUUGACAAGCAGGUCUCAUCAAGUGGCGCUGAACAGGGACCUGAAGCAGUUCACAGUCUACAAGACUAAUGGACAGGUGCUGACAGACGCGGGGAAUUCUGGCUGAAAAAGCGACAGACUGGAAAGUAACAAGAGAUGAAGAAACCAAAAGAAUAAUCAGGAAAUUGAAUGUAGAACAAUUAAUGCUCAACGAAAAGUGGCUUUUUGUAGUUGUUACUAUCAAAGGGUUCCCUUCAAGAUUACCUCACAGAUUUUCCAGGAGGUGAAGAUGAAGACAAGGAGACUGAACAAUGGAUGUGUGUGUGUAACUGUCCCCUGACUCACAAAAGUGCAAUGGAAAGCAAACAAGUGAAGUGAAAGAAUGCAAAGAGGGAGAUGGAACAAAAGCUUGCAGAGAAGUGCCAGUUAACAACUGACUAUAAGAGAAGAAUAAUCUUCUGAGUAAAUACAGAGAAAGAGAGAAAGAGAAGGGGCAGGGAUUUGUAUUGAAGAAGCUUGCUCUGUACUUUGAAACAAACUGAAAGAGAAAAAAUAGUAUUAUUUAUUUAAAAUCACUCCCUGACUUGAAUCAAUUCAGGAUACAAAAUAGUUUGCCUCCCUACUGAUUAUAUCAAUUUUUAAAUUGCAUUUAUUGCUAUUUUUCUUUUAUCUAGAGAUACGUAUUGAGUGUCUGUUAUAUGCCAGAAACUAUUCUCAGGAGAGCAUUGAACAAAACAGAAAAACUCUGCACUCACACAGCUUAAAUUCUAGCUGACAAUAGCUAAACAAACAAGCAAACAUGAUGUCAUAUAGUAUAAGUGCUAUGAAGAAAAAUCAGGUUAGGUACAUGGAAAGUUUUUACUUUCAUAGGGGUAGACAGGGAAACUGACUUACCCCAAGAUUAAUACACACUAAUGGUAGAUUUUUUUUUAACAAUAAAGAUUAACAAAAUGAAAAGCUGAAGUACUUU
rnacentral:lncRNA from 1 species